rnacentral:rRNA from 1 species
ACGACUCUCGGCAACGGAUAUCUCGGCUCUCGCAUCGAUGAAGAACGCAGCGAAAUGCGAUACUUGGNGUGAAUUGCAGAAUCCCGUGAACCAUCGAGUCUUUGAACGCAAGUUGCGCCCGAAGCCAUUAGGCCGAGGGCACGUCUGCCUGGGCGUCACG